AGAGUUUGAUCAUGGCUCAGAGUGAACGCUGGCGGCGUGCUUAACACAUGCAAGUCGAACGAGAACGGUCCUUCGGGAUGUCAGCUAAGUGGCGGACGGGUGAGUAAUGUAUAGUUAAUCUGCCCUUUAGAGGGGGAUAACAGUUGGAAACGACUGCUAAUACCUCAUACUCCUUUUAUCUUAAUGGUAAUUGGGAAACGUUUUUUCGCUAAAGGAUGAGACUAUAUGGUAUCAGGUAGUUGGUGGGGUAAGAGCCUACCAAGCCAAUGACGCCUAGCUGGUCUGAGAGGAUGAUCAGCCACACUGGGAACUGAGACACGGUCCAGACUCCUACGGGGAGGCAGCAGUGGGGAAUAUUGCACAAUGGAGGAAACUCUGAUGCAGCAACGCCGCGUGGAGGAUGACGCAUUUCGGUGUGUAAACUCCUUUUAUAUGGGAAGAUAAUGACGGUACCAUAUGAAUAAGCACCGGCUAACUCCGUGCCAGCAGCCGCGGUAAUACGGAGGGUGCAAGCGUUACUCGGAAUCACUGGGCGUAAAGCGCGCGCAGGCGGCCUUUUAAGUUGGAUGUGAAAGCCUAUGGCUCAACCAUAGAACUGCAUCCAAAACUAUCAGGCUAGAGUGUGGGAGAGGAAGAUGGAAUUAGUUGUGUAGGGGUAAAAUCCGUAGAGAUAACUAGGAAUACCAAAAGCGAAGGCAAUCUUCUGGAACAUUACUGACGCUGAGGCGCGAAAGCGUGGGGAGCAAACAGGAUUAGAUACCCUGGGUAGUCCACGCCCUAAACGAUGAAUGUUAGUCGUCGGGUAGUUAGUCUAUUCGGUGAUGCAGCUAACGCAUUAAACAUUCCGCCUGGGGAGUACGGUCGCAAGAUUAAAACUCAAAGGAAUAGACGGGGGACCC
rnacentral:rRNA from 1 species